UUGCAUGGUACAACACACACCAUGAAGGAACUUGUAGAAUCUUAAUGUGUGGCCUGGAACUCCUUCUGGCUAUAGACUCACGCUCAAAGGUAUGUGAGGAUUGUAGUGGAACUUUUAUUUCUCAGUAUUUAGAUUGCUGUGAUUCCUCUUUAAAGUGUUUUAUUCUGGUUAAAGCACUUGCAGCUUUGACUGUGUAUUGGCAAAGAUGUGCUAACCUUUCCCAUCUUGUUUUUGUUUUUAAACUGUUCAGUAUCUCUUGGUGCUGUCUGCAAGUCCCAUAAUCAAAAGAUUUUUUUUCUGUAUGGAAGCCUUACUAAUUCUAGGGGUCUGAUUGCUUGUUUUCCAUAUCUGUCUUCUAAACAUGUGCACUUAAACGUCUUUCUCUUCAGGGAUAGUGUGUGCUCCCAACACCAAUUAUUUUGGUAGGUAUUUCACCUUCUCAUCUCAGGUGGGAAUAAAAGGGAGAGCUUUCUGUUAAUUUCCAUAUACUUAGGCCAGCUUUUUGAUUCCUUAUCCUUUUAAUGUUCUCUGUAAAUGUGAUUAGGCCAUUCAAUUGUUUUGGUUCACUUGAGGUCUCUGUGGGAUUAAUUUGAGCAAAUCUUCUAUAUGCCCAUGCAAGCAAGAGGCAAUUUUGGCCUUGAGGGUCACAUUUUUAUCUAGGUGUGUUUAAAAGGAUGAGGAGCACUCUUAAAAAAAGGUAUUUUUUAGCAAGCUUUGUGCAUUUUUAAACUAUUGAACAAUACUUAUAUGCAGUUACUAUAAGCAGCCUUGAGACCUAAAGAUAAAAAACUACUGUAGAAGAGUGUAGCAUUACUAUUGUAAUAACUUGUUCUAUGAAGCCAAGUAGUAUUUUGGUUUAUAAUACUUAAUUUUAGUUCACAAAAAAUGGAGCUUUUCCUACCUUUAAUACAUUCUUUUGCCAAGCCAGUGAAGAGGUGUGACUUAAACUCUAUCCUCUACUCUUCUUUUCCUUUCAUUUUUUCCUGUUUUUUGACUGAGGUUAUAUUUGUCUUCAGCUCAAAAUUCUUAAAUCUUUUUUUUUUUUUUUUACUGUAGAAUAUUCUAUAUGUGCCAGAAGAACCACAGUGCAAAGCUGUUUUCUCACUUAUGUACUUUGUUUCAGUGAAAAGUCAGUCUCUAAGAGAAUAAAUAUAUUUCCUAGAAGAAAAAAAAAGUGUUGAUCAGUACCUUUGUGAUAUUCUCACUGUAUUCUCUUAUGAACUUUGUCUUGCUUGGAAUUGACCACUCCAAUUUUUUAAUGGAUUUGUUUUAACCAAAAAAAAAAAAAAAAAAAAGCCUAACAUUACUGUGCUUAUGUAUGUUUUAUAAAGAAAUGGAUUUAACACACACUGCCACACACACUGAGUUGCUAUUGUGUGGGAUGUUUCCUUUAGAGUGCUGCAAUUAAUCCUGCUGAACUGAAAAAUUAGGUCACCAAGUGCAUGCUAAUAGUGAACAGAAAAAAAUAGCUUUAUUGCUCGGCUUUACAGGUGCAGUGAAUAAAAUCAGCCACAACUGCCACAGUUUAAUACUUAUUUCUUAUUUAAAGUAAGUUUGCAGGAACCUCUUAGAGUAUUUUUUUUUUAUGCAAAGGUCUUGAGUGAUAACUUGAAAACCAGUCACUAGUCAUGGGCUGUCUGUGGGAGAAGCCAGCCCCUAAGAAAAUAAUAAAAAUCAUAAGAUUAGGUGGGAGUUCUUGCUUCUGUGAGGAAUACCCCUGGAGUCGAAGACUGCUAGGGAAGCAAAAUAGCUCCUGUUAGCCACCUGAGUGUAUUUUGUGUCUGAGAGGGGAGAGCAUCCUGGACUCACUCACUGACCUCUUUUAUAUUCAGUACUUAUCUGGCCGAAGCCAUCACUCACCGUGAGCAGCUCUUCUCUCUCACUUUUGGCAAAAAUUGCUCAAUUAAGUCAAAAAGAAAAGUGCAGAGAGCCUCACACACGCAGGGAAGAUUUCCCCUGGACUCUUAGCUCCUGCACAGCACAACUGCCCAGAGCUGAGUGGCAUACUGUACUUCAGGAAAAAUACACGAUAGCUUGGCUACUGCUGGGCUUGCUGCCCAUCUCCACCUUUUUUUAGCAUAGAGUAAUGUCUCUGAGGAGUUCACAGUACAGCAGAGUGUUCUGAAAUGUAGGAUGGAAAAUUGCACUUCUUGUCUCAUAUUUUGGUUUUCUCUGGAUACGUGAUCAGCUGGUUGCUUUUGAUAUGGAUUUGGAGGAGUCCUGUUGAAAGGUUUAGUUGAGUCUAAGCAUUCACAGCUAUGUACUCAUGGAGGUGGCUGAGGAAUCAAGCUCCACAGGUACAGAGUUCUUUAUUUUUUUUGUUUGGUAGCUUUUGUCCAUCUUCAAAAUCAGAAAUCUGUAAAUGCAGCAACCAACAUAAAUUUCUGGUUUACUGUCAGAAAACCUCUUGGUGUCAAGUGGACCUCAGCUGACUGAGCUGUGGUGAAGUCUGGUACUGGUUUGCCAUCCCAAAAUCUCAGUUUUAGUUCUACUCACUUUCAUCCAGCUUUAAUAAAUUUGCCCUAACUCUGCCUUCUGAGUAUUGCCUAUGGCACUGUACUGCAACCCUGUGCUGCCCAGCAAACAUAUUUUCUGAGCCUUCUUAUGGCAUUUGGAACUGGAAAUUUCAAACUGAACAAACUGCUUGUGCUUGAGCAGCAAAGCUUAAAUUCAAACCACUUUUGAAGUCCUUUCUCCAAGCGCUUGGUGCCUUCUCAAGUUGUAUACAUGGAGUAAAGUGAGUUCCUGCAGAGGUAUGGUUCUAAACCCAGGAUCUAGUCUACAGCCAUACUGAGGGCUUGCUGUAAUGAUAUUAAAGUAGAUUCUGUAUUAAACCACUGAAAAGCUGACAUUUGAACAUCUGCUAUUGCUAAGUAAAUAUUAUUAAUGAAUAAGUAGCUCCUCAAAGACUUGUCAGUGCUUAUUCUUUGUACUUUCAUCAAACUUCUGUAUAUUUUUUUUUCCAUUCUUUCCUCCUAUGAGAGGAAAAUAUCUUCCUUCCCUGAACUGUGGGUAAGAGAAAAGCUCUGAGGAAUCACAUUAAUAACCUUGCUCCCUGCAUUGAAUAGACAAGAACUUCUCUGUGGUCCACAGUUUUCCCAAGAUAAUUUUCUGUUUGUUUUCCAUAGUGCUAUCUGGUGAAUAAACAUGACUGUUCCCCACUUCCCAUCUCUCACAGCUCGCUGUAGGUGACCAGUCAGCCAGUUGGUGCCAGAUUAAUGACAGAAAACAGAUUUUAUUGUCCAAAUCAUCUGUGAAUGAUGGGGCUCUCUGUUAAUUCCCAUGAAAGCUAACUAAUCUUCCAAUUGAAAAACUGCUUUUACAAUCCAGGCUGUCAUGGAGAGCAGAUUUUCUUUUUUUUUAAGAAGCAAAAUAAACCACACACAGAAUCUUUUUAUUGAUGGGGGAACGAGGGGGAAGGGGAGCUUCACCUCUUUUCUUGAAUUCUAUUCCUCUGAGGCCACUUAUAUUCCAUUGGAAAUAUAAAAGCCCAGGGUCAGCCUUUCUUUGCAUGGUCACAUGGAAGUCUCUGCUUUCUCCUUGUCGUCUUCAGCAACAGCAAAUUAAAAACUUAGAAGAGGUGGUAUGUUUUCUUAAUGAGAGACUGUGCAAAACUUACUCAAAUGUUGGACUCAAAGUUGGAAUUAAGUGUUAUAUCCUUGGCAAAAAGUAUUACAAAAUAAUCUGUAAAAAAUUCUAAAAAAUUUCCAGGCUGUCAAUCCAGUGACCUGCUACUAUUUAUCUUUAUAUUAUGUAUUACUUUUGUGGGGUGAAAUUAUAGAUAACUAUGUAUAUAAAAAUAUACCUUUUGGAAUAUUACCCUGUUUCAAGAGUGAAUGUUUGAAAGAAAGAAAAUGUUGGCACACUAUUACUGCAACUCAGACUUACAGGAAAUGCUAUUUGUUUAUAUCCCUUUUUUAAUAUAUUUUCAUAUUUUGGCAUUUUGCUUUAAUUUAAGGCAAAGCAAAAUCAUAGUUUCCAACAGGUAUGGGAGGGUAUCAGAGGAAAACUGUGGUGGAAUUGUUAGCCUUUUUUUUUAAAUCAUUUUUUUGAGAAAAAAAAAUGUUUUAUCAGCGACAGUGGAGUUUAUUUGUCUUCCAUGAGAAUGGUUCUAGCCACAAGGCUGUAAUGGAGUCCAGCUGUUGUCUCUGAAUCCAUCCAUCAGCAGCACAAGAAGGUGAAGAAGGCAAAUGGUGACUGCCUGAGAGGAGAAAGAGGGCAGCAGGGUGAGGGAUGACUGCUUGCCGUGGAGGAUCAGUAGCAGGGAAAUACGGCUCCCAGAGAUGACCAAGGUCAAGCUCGGCUGAAGGCUCAGGUACUACAAAAGACAUCAGCAGAAUAAAAAGGGUUCUUCUAACAAGCAAAAUCAGUUCAUCAGGUUACAACUUGCUGAUCCAAACCCAACUCAGUUGUGGCUACAAUUUGUUCCUGCAAGACAAUACUGGCAGAAGAACAAAUGGAUCCCAUGAAUAAAUUCAGGCUGAUAAUUAGAAGACAGUUUUUAGCCAUCUGGAAAACAAGGCAGUCUGCAGAAGAUUGUGGAACAGCCUUCAGAAGAAUAUUAGAAUGGAAUGGUUGAAUUUUUUUGAAGAUGAAGUUUGACAAUCCUCUGCAUUAAAUUGUUCAGGAUAAUCAUCUGCAAUGAUGGGGGUGGGGCAGAAAUAAAAAAGUUUGUGCUGUGGUGUUCAUCUCUUUGUGCAAUAGGAAGGAAUGAGAUGCUGGUCCAUAAGGAUGAACAUCUGUGUUAUGGAGUGCAGAUGAUGAAUGUGGAGGCCAGGAACAGGAUGGACACGGAUCACUUCUCCCCACUAAGCAAAGCAGCAUAAACUUGGAGGGGCAUAUCCUGAGAGCAGUCAUUUGUUUUCUCUGGGUUAAUGGCUUUCAGCUGAACGUCUGUCUGCUGAAUAAUGACUGUACUGCUACAUCAACCAGUCUCUUCCACUACAAAACAUGUUUUCGGUUAAUGGCAUUGACAUACUGGAAGCUGGAAUGAGCCUCCCCACUUGAGUUGUUCCAACAUGAUACAUCCUACUAGAAUGAAAUUAAAUAAGGAGAUGUGACAAAAGAGGAGGAUUCAAGGAAGAUGAUAUUGUGUUCUAAAAGUGAAGCAUCAAAGACACUUUGGUUUUUGACAUCACUUGUGCUGCUUGUUAUUUAAUCAUUCCCAUUCUGAGUAUUUAUUUUCUAAAGGGAAAAAUAUUUUUUUCAGAUUUCAAGUCCUAUGUUUUUGAUCUUCAAUAUAUGCUUGUACUACUGAGUGAUGUGGAAAAAUAAUAAACAGUAGAAAGCUUGAAGACUCUUUAGAAAUGCUGAGAGCAAAAUUUGAAAAGUACUCAAACAGCACAUAAAAUGUCAUGUCCCUUUCCCUUUAGUCAUAGGAUUAAGUUAUCCAAGUCACGGAGACAAUUAUAGAAAUACAAUAGGUUUUCUAUUGCGAUGAUCACACAUGGGUGUAAAAUAAGCAGCCUGGCUGUACCAUAAAGUACAUAGGUUUGUGAAAUCACUUUGAUUUUAUUGUGAUUACAGGUGGGAAAAGGCAUUGUAAGCAACUAAAAAGGAAACAAAUUGCCUAGCACAAUUAAAGGAUUGAUCUGAAAUAGUUAUUGAUUUGAUAUUGCCUUUCACCUGCAUGAAGGAAGCUGAUCAUACUUUGAAGACUGAAACUGGUUUGUUUUGAUGUGAUAGAUUUCCAUUUAGCCAGGCUAGCUUUUCUAGGUCCCUUUUGUUUCACCCCCAUCUGGCAGCCUCCUAGGUGGGCAGAGGUGCUCCAGGUAAUGUGAGCAGGGGCAGUAAGCAUGCAAAAAGUGGAAAUGGAAUUGGUGAGGUACCAGGUGAAAGUUCAUUGGCCUCCCAGAACUGUGUUCCAGAAAUGACAAAAGCCAUCCAUCUUGUGGGUGCAGACCCUUUGGAUUUGCUGACAGUAAUAAUUCCACCCCUAACUCUCUGGUAACACAUUAGCAUUAACAGUAAUUUUUGCCUCUAGACAGGCUCUGCAGUACAGCAUGAUGGUUCCUACCCUGUAAUUGUAGGAUCCUCAUUAAUCAGAAAGAAUAUUAUGACAUUGUGAGCUCACAAGAAAGACAAUUCAUGACUGACAUAAUAAAGGCCUAAAUUAUGCUGCUUUGAUGGUUGGAGGUGCAAUUUUUUUUUCUCUUGUGAAAAUAGGAUUUAGCAGCUGUAUGAAAAAAAAUCUGUAUAAUGAAAGUAGGGAGCAUUGAGAGGCAAGCAACACCAGCUUUAUCUAGAUGAGACCUUUAUUUCAAAAGGAAAUUAAAAUUUCAAAGCUGGUAAUGUGUUUUUUAUCGAUAAACCAGAAUUUAAAUCAGGAUCUUGAGGAAGAACUAUAUGAGAAGCUUAUUGCUGCAGCACUGCGUUUAGUAUUUUGCUGCUGUUACCCUUUAAAAUUACAGAAAUUUAUAUAUUGUUUUGUCUAGCUUCCAAAAUGUGUUUUGACAUAUAUGAAAUGAUUAAUACUGAAACACAUCUCAUAAAUUUAAUGCAAUUUAAUAUAGACCUAUAUUCAUUAGGAGCCAAAGAUUGUAAAUUAUAAAUGAAGAAGAGUGAAAAAAGAAAAACUGUUAAAUCCCAGUUUCUUCUUCCACUGAAGGUAUGUGGACAAAUUAAUUCAGUUCCUAGAGUCAGCCUGAAGGCUCUUUGAAAUAGCACUGCUUUCUGUGAAAGCAAUCCAAUGGGAACCCAGCAUCCCUUAAAGACAGAGGGCUGGAGACUGAAGGGGUGCCGAGGAGGUGGUGAGUCCCAGAGGAGGGCCUUGCCUUGUGUGGCUAUAUGUGAUGGGCUCAGUGUGUUCUGAAGUGCUCUGAUUAACAGGGAAAUUCAUCAAAACUGUGAUUUUUCUUCAGGGAUUCCUUCCUCCAGAACAAGCUGGCUGCAAUACUUAUGAUCCAAGUAAACAAUAACUUAAACAAGCAUAUAAGAUUCUGGGAAAGUCCCCAAAAUCCCUCUUGAGCUGAGCUCCUCUCAUGCAUUGGGGUUAAGUGAUUUACUCCAGGCACUCAUGUCUGUCCAUAGGUAUUUACAUAGGUUUUUAAGUAUAGCCCUGACUGCUCAGACAGAUUUCUUCUGAGUGCCUUAAAAAUUACUCCCUCUUUUCUCGAAAAUAUGAUAGUUGAGGAGAAACAAGGGAAAAAGUUUUUUCUGAGUAUUACCCCAUCUAUUCACUAGAUGAAAUAUUCUGCAUGCUUCCCCCUUGACCACUGUUUUUGUUUGCUUAAAAUUGUGACCUGUAGAACAGUCAAAAUUAGCCAUUGAGCAUAAUUGAUGGGGAAAAUAGCAAUUUUAGUUAAAAAAUAUUUCCUGAAAUAUUUUUGGUGGUGGUGGCACAUAAAUGAUUUAAAACAAGUGUGUAUACAAUUUCUUUCUGUAAUGAUUCAAGGAUAGUUCAUAAAAUUCUUGUUUUCUUUAUGGCUCAUCCCAUGACUAAAUGAUUCUGUGCACGCUCUGGCACUACCUAGGAUGCAAUAUGAGGGGAUACCUAAAAUUUCAGUUUUCUUUAAAUUUAAGACUAGAUGGAAUUCAGGGAUGAAUUCACAAUGGCAUUUUGUCUUCCUAUGGCCACACAGGAACAGCUUAGCAGUGCCAGUGCAAGUUAGAUGUGCUGGCUUUGCCCUGACUCUGCUUUUGAAGUCAAUCUCCCAGCUUGCCCACCUUGCUGUGCUGAGUUUGCACUCAGGAGCAGCCCCAGGGACUGAAACUUCCCACAAGCUUCACCCAGAAGUUGAGCUUCCCAUACUCAGUCACCAGAAUGGUGUUAAAUUGACCUAAACUUUCCCUAAAAUUCAUGCAGUGGGCGUGUCACGUUUUCAGCAUCAGAGAUUUUGGACUGUACAUCUGUUCCUGUGGGGAUGUGCAGCUUGUAUCAAAAUACAAGAUACUGUCUGCAAAGAUACUGCCUUGGAUCUUACUUUCCACUGAAAUCCAGUGGCAUGUAGCAUGUAGCAGUAUGUCCAAUCCUGCUGGGUGUCUUUGUAAAUACCAUUAGGAAAAUAUACUCAAUAUCUGAUUUUUUAAAAAAGAUUUACAACUGUGAUUUAUUUAUAUCUCAAAUUCUUGCAGUUGUAUUUUUGCUGCCUUGAGGACUGUACCAUCUGGAGUGAUCUUCAGUCUCAGCCGUUUCUUUAUCUCAAACAUUCGCUCAUUCUUGGGGGAGUGCUCCUGAAGUGCACAGCACUUAGGCUGUGGGACCUUUGUGCCUGUGUCAAUGAUCACAUACAGAUGGUGUGAAAACACAGGGAUCCAGCUGGUUCCCAUGGUAUUGAGACAAAAUUGCAUGAAGUGGAGUAUUCCUUCUGAGAGACUGAAAACAUGAAGAUGUUUCUAUUAAAAUAUCAGUCACUGAUUUUUUUUGUUACAUUGGGCCUAUCCUAGAAAUUAAUUAAUCAGACUCUUGUGAGAGGCAGCCACUGUUGCCUUUUCCAGCUCUUUUUGGAGGGAACUGCCAUGUUUCAUCACACUGACGUGGGGUCAAAGAAACAUAGGACCAAAAAAUGCUCAUAUUCAGCUUCACCUUGAAGAGUCUCAUGGCAAAGACCUCAUAUUCAAAACUUUAUCUAGAAAGGUGGAUUUAAUGAAGUACCAUAAAAACACUGAAAUCUAUUUUGAAGUUAUCUUUAAAAUCAUGACAUAUUUUUAUUAGUUUGAAAGAUACUUAUUGUUUCUGUCAUUGAAAAUGAUGAUUUUUUUCUGUUGCCCAACUCUGCAGACUUGCAUAAUGUCAUUAAAAUAGCCCAAAUGAAAACUUACAAUGAUGCAGUUGUGUUGGUUUGGGUUUUUUUCUCUGUUAGGGGAAGUCGAUCUUCUCUGAUCUCUUCAAAUAUAUUGUAUGCUGCUUCAUUAAGCAGUAUUACAGAUGUCAGAGAGAGAUUCACCAAAAUGGUAAAAACCAUGCAAAUAGUAAGAAUUUGAACAGGAAUGAUUCAUAUUGGUUGGUGGUAUCUGCAGCUGUACAUAUGUCUGUUCUGCCUGCUUGCACUUCCAAACACUGAAGUUCAAGCUAUACUGAUAAAAUAUGGAUUUUAAUGAUAAUUUUGUUGUUAGGGAUUGUACCUGUACAUGAUCAUGCUUUAGUAACAUGAUUGUUUCAUUUUAUUCAAGUAUUUUGAUGUAUAAUAUUAAUAAAUUAAACUGUAUUGUGUACUAAUAAACAUGCUAACAAUAAUCAUAUGCUUAAAAUACUAGCUACUACAACAAAAAGGAGAGAUAAAAGUAACAACAAAAAAAACACCUGAAAGACUGCCCAACAGUUUUUCUCAGCAGCUGGACAAGUUGUCUUCUUCUAGGUCUUAUCAGCAGUAAAGAGAAGUUAAUGAAAAUUUUUGCAGACUUACUGGUUGCAGGGAAGAAAUUACUUCCAUUAUACACUGAAGAAUGAAAUCCAUUAAAUCUCUUUUAACUCCUGACUGCCCAGCAACUUGGAUGGGUUGAAGAUUUCAAUCUACAUACACAGUACGGGUACUAUUCUUGGUUUCAUUAAAUGUUUCUUCUUUUCAAUAGGCUCUGUCUACCUUGCCCAAAAUUUAAAAUUGGCUUUAUGAAAACCACUGUCCUGAUAGAUAUGCAUCUGACAGGAAAGGGCAUCCUUUA